AUACGGAGGAUCCGAGCGUUAUCCGGAUUUAUUGGGUUUAAAGGGUGCGCAGGCGGCCAUUUAAGUCAGCGGUUAAAUCGUGGGGCUCAACCCCAUUCUGCCGUUGAUACUGGGUGGCUUGAUUGCGGUCGAGGUUGGCGGAAUUCGUUGUGUAGCGGUGAAAUGCAUAGAUAGGACGAAGAACACCGAUUGCGUAGGCAGCUGACCAGACCGAAAAUGACGCUCAUGCACGAAAGGGCGGGGAUCGAACAGGAUUAGAUACCCUGGUAGUCCGCAAAGUAAACGAUGAAUACUUGUUUUCGGCGAUAUAAUGUCAGAGGCAAAGCGAAAGCGAUAAGUAUUCCACCUGGGGAGUACGCCGGCAACGGUGAAACUCAAAUGAAUUGACGGGG
rnacentral:rRNA from 1 species